GACGAACCGUGCGAACGUUGUUCGGAAUCACUGGGCUUAAAGGGCGCGUAGGCGGACUGCCAAGUCCGGGGUGAAAUCUUUCGGCUUAACCGGAAAAUAGCCUUGGAUACUGGCGGUCUAGAGGGAGGUAGGGGCAGCUGGAACUUCCGGUGGAGCGGUGAAAUGCGUUGAUAUCGGAAGGAACGCCGGUGGCGAAAGCGAGCUGCUGGACCUCUUCUGACGCUGAGGCGCGAAAGCCAGGGGAGCAAACGGG
rnacentral:rRNA from 1 species